CCAUAGGACUAAUUCACCCGCAAUGCACCCGAUCUCAUCAGACCUCGGAAGCUCAGCAGGGUUGGGCAUGGUUAGUGCUUGGAUGGGUGACCACCGCAGGUUCGUCAUAGGGC
rnacentral:rRNA from 1 species